GACGGAGGGGGCUAGCGUUGUUCGGAAUUACUGGGCGUAAAGAGCGCGUAGGCGGAUUAGUAAGUUGGAAGUGAAAGCCCAAGGCUUAACCUUGGAACUGCUUUCAAAACUGCUAGUCUUGAGUGAAGUAGGGGGUGAUGGAAUUCCUAGUGUAGAGGUGAAAUUCUUAGAUAUUAGGAGGAACACCGAUGGCGAAGGCAGUCACCUGGGCUUCAACUGACGCUGAGGCGCGAAAGCGUGGGGAGCAAACAGG
rnacentral:rRNA from 1 species